UCGGUAACACUAUAAUUGCAUUCGGCUU
rnacentral:sRNA from 1 species